UUGGGUCCUGACACCUAUUGCGAGCCCACGACGAACAAGCAAGGAUCGCGGUUCUCACAAAGUAAGCCAGCCCCAUCAGUCGAGAUCACGAACAAACCCACAGAGAUCGAGCUAGGAAAAACCAAAACGAAACUCGACGGAGACGGAGACGGGAAGGGGAAGAGGGGUCCGGUUUUGCGAGCUGGGCGAUCCCCCCCGCCGUGGAGGUGGGCGCGGCUCGGGGCGCCACGCGCGCAUCUGCCGGGCGGGUGGUGAGGGCUGCGCGCGUCGCCGUCGUGGGAAGAGGAGGAGGAAGAGUAGAAAUGGGGCUGCCUCGCCCGGUGCCCGUGACCUGCUCGACGGAAUGCGGCAGCGGCCAACGCCGUGCGGCGACGUGAGAAAGAGUCCAGAGCUGGACAUCAUGCAAAGUUCUGACCAGGGAAAAUGAUCAAAGAUGUGCCAAGCAAGCAACGAGAUCUAGGCGCGUGUAUGGGUGGCGCGGCGUGAAGAAGACGAACGGACCUUGGAGGUUGCUGUCGAGCCAUUUGGACUGCCUGGUGCGGAUGUGGCUCGCCCACCACCACGAGUAGGCGUUGCUCGCCGCCCGCUGCAGCAUCCCGCCUCUCCUCCGCCGCGCUUCUCCAGCCGCCGGACUCGAACUGGAAGGUCAGCAAUGCACAUUGCCUGCAUUUGCCAUGGGGACGUAUGUCAUCUUUGGAAGAAGAUGAACGAGACGGCGGCGGCGGAGAGGAAGAAGAACAGGAGGAGAAGGGGGGGAGCAGGAGUUGAAUACUUCGUAGCAAUGUUCCUGCGGAGAUGCCGAUUCUGCUUGAUUGGCAGAAGAACGGAAGCGAGCAGUAGGUGGUAGUGGCAGAGAAGUGGUGGCAAUGGCAUGGUGCAGGGCUCGGGGAGGUCUAAGUCUCUGAGGUGUGGGUCCCCGGGGGUGUGUGCUGUCCUGGGCGCGGCCUGUGCUGCUGCUCGUGCUCGGCACGUCGGGCGGCAAGUGCACGACGUUGGGCCAGAAGUAGCUCUGAGAUGGGCCGUGGGCUUAGUUUGUGCUUUCGUCUUCUUUUUCCCCCCUCUUUUUUUCCUUUCCUUUUUCUUUUACAGAUUUGGUGUCAGUAGCAAGUUAAAGCUGAUGGAAACAGAUAAGGUGUUGUUUUGUUCUAAGAAAAAUAAAAAAUAUGAGAAAAA